rnacentral:lncRNA from 1 species
GUUGGGAAUAACGGAUCCCCGAAAACCGGAUUCGACACUAAAUCGAACCCCUAAAUCAAUGCGGAAGACGAAGCCCGGGAAAACACGUAUCACCGAUCGUAAAGCACACCACGGAGUCGAGCGUACCUUGUUAGCCACAGAUUAAACACCAAUGCCGAAGAUAGAGGAAGAAAUUCUGAUCCGAUGAAUGCCAAUUUGUCUUGAAGGGAAGACCGUGUCGCCGUAAGCGUUUUUCUUCUUUUUCUUGGAGGGAGAGAGGGAGAGGAACGUGCGUACGUUCUUAUGCCAAAGGGUGUCUUCUCUCUCUCUCUCCUCCCUUUUAUACCUUCCCCCAUCCACGGGCCUUAUUCCCGUG